UAAAAUCUGCUCUCCCGUUUUAUUUUCAGAGACAGCUGAAGGUCACACAGUAAGGCUGCCCCUCUAGUGGACUUACAUGGCAAUCUGUUGAACACAAAGUAAUUCUGCAUGUCCUGUUUGUCUUUGAAGCCCGACAGCCCACAUUCACUUUCAUUAAAUGAGAAGAGGAGCCGAAACAUUCUGCUAAACGUCUCCUUUUGUGUUCCAUGGAAGCUAUAAAGUUAUGUAGGUUUGGAACAAUAUGAAGCGAGUAAAUACAGACCGUGUUUAAGAUUUUGGAUGAAAUAAAUAUUUAAAUAAAUAUUGGACCACGGGAUAACAUUUGCUCUAGAUUAGGUGCAGAACAGUAGGUCUUAAAGACGUUUCAAAGAAGUUGGCAAAAAUAUGUGCAAAAGAAAUACACUAAAGUCUGCCAAGCAGGAGCAAGCAAGCAUGCUGACCAUAGCAAGAUCUAACAUGAAGAACACUUUGUAUUAUUGUGAAUUAAUUCUACAUCCAAAUGACAAAUAAUUCAACACAGUACUGUACAUUAGUAAUUCACUAGAGACUCAUGGUCAAGAACAUACCUUCUUCUGUCCUCCCUUAGGAACAUGUCCAAUGUUCUCCAGAGAUCCAACCUUUGACUGGGCUUUGAAGUCCAACUUCUCAGAUUUGAUCUCUACAUUUCCACCUCCUAAAAUACAGAUAGAAGUGUUCAGAUUCUGUUUAAAUAAAAACUUUCCCAACUGUUUUUAGUUAAAUGGAGUUGAAGAUAGAGUUAGGGAUGGCACUUCCAAUCCAAUAAGGUACAGUAAAUAAAAUGUAAAACUUGCAUAAAAAAUGAAUAAGCAAUUUUCGUUGUCGUGUUUGGCCUUAAAAUACCUAAUGGCAUUUUGUUAUACUCUUUCUUCAUAUCUGACUCAAAUCUCACCAGGUUUGUGAUGAAUGUUGGCCUUGGAGCCACACUUUGAUUGGACGUUGCUUAGGUCGAUCUUUUUGUGCACUAUCUGAACCUGAAGCAAGAGGAACAAAUGGAGUCAGUUAUCAACCAGAGCAUUUUGGAAGGAAAUGAAGCACAUGCUCGGGCACCUGAGGAGCUGAUGAUCUGGAGUAGGAAAAUUACCAUUAUUCACAACAAAAGGGUUCACGGGACAGAGAAGAAACUUACUUCCAUUUAUAGGCCACCACAAAAUAGAUAUAAAUCCAGUUUACUAGACCCACACUUCAUGCAAAUGUAACGGAGUGACGUAUUUCAAUUUUGUAUGCAUUUAGACUGGGUUGACAUAACAUAUAUGAUUGACUGUAUUCCUGUUUGUCUGAAUAGAUCUUAGAGGGCAUUUAGAAUUGUGUAAAUACUCUUUCAAACAAGAAUUACGACAUGAAAAUGUCCCUCUCUGUCCCAAGUCAGAAAAGAGAUUCACUCUAAAUGCAUCACUCAAUAUUUUAGUCAAAGGCACCCAAGGGCUUAUAGAUGGAAGAGACUGUAAUGCAACAAUGCAUGUUAUAUCCUAUUUACCGUCUCAAGAGAAAUUCAGAUAUAACUAGAUUUACGUCUGAAGGCAAUACCAGCACUUGUAAGGCAAUGAAACAGCGUCUUUAGUCAAAUGAUCCUGAAGUAGCACACCUAAGGAUGAAAUUAUCUACAAAGCAAUCUCUGAAAUGAGUUAAGUAGUUCAAGAUGAUAAGAGUUGCAAAAAAGUAUGAGUGGAAGAAUAAAUUAGGUAUUUGAAUACAGAUUAAUGGAUUUGAAUUCGCCUUGCAAGCACUGUGAUGAUGCACAUGCUCAGUUUCAAGCACUCAAGUGAAGAUCCAUAUCCCUUGGAGUUUUGUUUCUGCAUAUCUGAAUACCUGAGACCCCUUCACAAUCUUCACCUGCAAAGGAAUCUAGGUACAUGCAUGCAGUCUACACAGCAGCACAUCUGCAAUGCAGCAACAUCAGUCAGCAAUCCAGGUGCAUCACCAAGAGGAACCAGGAGGAACACCAGGUAAGAGGAGAUGCCAACACUGGGGAUUCAGGCAAGUGAAAUUAACCUAGUUUUUGCAAAGGCAUCUAGAUGGAUGUCUUGCCCAAAUGCAUUGCCAGUGUAGACUUGCCAAAAAGAAACAACAACCUGUAGCACCUUAUAGUACAGCUCAUAGCUAAAGCCAUCAGUCAGAUCACAUUGUAUUUGUUUUGUUUCAUCUCUUGCAAAAAAAAAAAAAACCUA